rnacentral:rRNA from 2 species
AGAGUUUGAUCAUGGCUCAGAUUGAACGCUGGCGGCAGGCCUAACACAUGCAAGUCGAGCGGUAGCACAGAGAGCUUGCUCUCGGGUGACGAGCGGCGGACGGGUGAGUAAUGUCUGGGAAACUGCCUGAUGGAGGGGGAUAACUACUGGAAACGGUAGCUAAUACCGCAUAAUGUCGCAAGACCAAAGUGGGGGACCUUCGGGCCUCAUGCCAUCAGAUGUGCCCAGAUGGGAUUAGCUAGUAGGUGGGGUAACGGCUCACCUAGGCGACGAUCCCUAGCUGGUCUGAGAGGAUGACCAGCCACACUGGAACUGAGACACGGUCCAGACUCCUACGGGAGGCAGCAGUGGGGAAUAUUGCACAAUGGGCGCAAGCCUGAUGCAGCCAUGCCGCGUGUGUGAAGAAGGCCUUCGGGUUGUAAAGCACUUUCAGCGGGGAGGAAGGCGGUGAGGUUAAUAACCUCAUCGAUUGACGUUACCCGCAGAAGAAGCACCGGCUAACUCCGUGCCAGCAGCCGCGGUAAUACGGAGGGUGCAAGCGUUAAUCGGAAUUACUGGGCGUAAAGCGCACGCAGGCGGUCUGUCAAGUCGGAUGUGAAAUCCCCGGGCUCAACCUGGGAACUGCAUUCGAAACUGGCAGGCUAGAGUCUUGUAGAGGGGGGUAGAAUUCCAGGUGUAGCGGUGAAAUGCGUAGAGAUCUGGAGGAAUACCGGUGGCGAAGGCGGCCCCCUGGACAAAGACUGACGCUCAGGUGCGAAAGCGUGGGGAGCAAACAGGAUUAGAUACCCUGGUAGUCCACGCUGUAAACGAUGUCGAUUUGGAGGUUGUGCCCUUGAGGCGUGGCUUCCGGAGCUAACGCGUUAAAUCGACCGCCUGGGGAGUACGGCCGCAAGGUUAAAACUCAAAUGAAUUGACGGGGGCCCGCACAAGCGGUGGAGCAUGUGGUUUAAUUCGAUGCAACGCGAAGAACCUUACCUGGUCUUGACAUCCACAGAACUUUCCAGAGAUGGAUUGGUGCCUUCGGGAACUGUGAGACAGGUGCUGCAUGGCUGUCGUCAGCUCGUGUUGUGAAAUGUUGGGUUAAGUCCCGCAACGAGCGCAACCCUUAUCCUUUGUUGCCAGCGGUUAGGCCGGGAACUCAAAGGAGACUGCCAGUGAUAAACUGGAGGAAGGUGGGGAUGACGUCAAGUCAUCAUGGCCCUUACGACCAGGGCUACACACGUGCUACAAUGGCAUAUACAAAGAGAAGCGACCUCGCGAGAGCAAGCGGACCUCAUAAAGUAUGUCGUAGUCCGGAUUGGAGUCUGCAACUCGACUCCAUGAAGUCGGAAUCGCUAGUAAUCGUAGAUCAGAAUGCUACGGUGAAUACGUUCCCGGGCCUUGUACACACCGCCCGUCACACCAUGGGAGUGGGUUGCAAAAGAAGUAGGUAGCUUAACCUUCGGGAGGGCGCUUACCACUUUGUGAUUCAUGACUGGGGUGAAGUCGUAACAAGGUAACCGUAGGGGAACCUGCGGUUGGAUCACCU